CGACCAAAGGGGGCAGUUCCGCAGAUUUCGGGAAUUCAGAAAUCCUUCCCGAUUAGCAGUUGACCAGACCAGCGACAGCAACGCCGAAGGUGUUACGUCACUGGGAGGGCGUGCCAGGCUACCAGUGACCACAAGUUAAAGAUUUUUGCCCACCGACAUCAAGAAGUAGUCUGAGAUGCACCCAUGAUGGCUGAAUUAAGACGAGGUGGCCAGCAUUUUCAAUGUGCGUGAGCUGUGUGCGGAAUUCAAGGGAUCACUGGAUGGAUGCUCCAUCUGCAAACCUGAUGAAGGCAUUUAGUAUCUAUGACUGAGGAUUCUGGCAUUGAUGUCUGCCACGAAUGUGCUCUCCUCUCAAGGGACUGUGCCUAUAUGAAUGAAGACCCUUAGAGCGUCGUGAAGGAAUACAUGCCAGGGGUUCGUAGUCACACGGUAGAGACCAUAUAUGGCAUCAGAUGGCAUAUCCCCCCCCCCGAGGACGUUUGGAUCAUAGGAGCUACGUAACGUACCAUUUGCUUUUGGACUGUGUUUACUUAUAUGAGCAGCUACAGUUUCUACUUUCUAAACAAUGUUUAAUUGUAUCUGUUAUGUGAAAACACACGAUAUGCACUUCAGUGAGCAUUUAAAUGUGCACUUGAACCCUUAACAUGCAAUAUAGCUUUACAAUAUUGUGAUGGGUUUUUUGUAUGUUAGGCUCUUUCAAUAUAAAAGUUGAAUGUUGUGCACUUAAACCUUAAUGUGAAUAUAAGGCUUGAAAUACAGUUUGUAUAUCAAAAAACAUCUUUGUCUGUUAUUUGUUUUAUCUUUUAGGCCUGUCAUUGCAUAAUGUUUACCCCUUUUGGUGUUAACUUAAAUGUAAUACUUUGAACAGAGUUAAUUAAAUCAUGGAAAGUAUUUCCAUGUGAUUCAAUUGCUCUCUUUCAGCAUGAAGUAAUUCAUUUGAACCAACUUGAUUUACUUGGGUUUGUGCAACUUAAUUUGAAGUAGUUUUCAAUA